rnacentral:rRNA from 2 species
CCUGGCGGCACUAGCGCGGUGGUCCCACCUGACCCCAUGCCGAACUCAGAAGUGAAACGCCGUAGCGCCGAUGGUAGUGUGGGGUCUCCCCAUGUGAGAGUAGG